rnacentral:rRNA from 1 species
GAAUACGUUCCCGGGCCUUGUACACACCGCCCGUCACACCACGAAAGUUUGUUGUACCCGAAGUCGGUGCCUUAACCUCGCAAGAGGAGAGAGCCGCCCAAGGUAUGGCCGAUGAUUGGGGUGAAGUCGUAACAAGGUAGCCGUAGGGGAACCUGCGGCUGGAUCACCUCCUUUCUAGGAGAGAAGGGUCCUGGAUGAAGCGCUCCUAUUUAGUCUUGUGAAGGAUCCGAGUGGAAGCCGGGACCGGAGAAAGACCGGGCCUGUAGCUCAGAUGGUGAGAGCGCACGCCUGAUAAGCGUGAGGUCGAUAGUUCGAAUCUAUCCAGGCCCACCAUCUGCGGGGAUGUAGCUCAGUUGGGAGAGCGCCUGCUUUGCAAGCAGGAGGUCAGCGGUUCGAUCCCGCUCAUCUCCACCACGGAGAAGGGACACGGCCGGAGAGAAAGAGGUCC